AUCCUUUGUUCAUUCCAUCAGAUCAUACUGUUUCCAAUUAGCUAGGAGUUAUCUUUAAAGACAGAAAUGAUCUUCAAAAAAAAAAAAAAAAAGAAAUGAAAGCCUUGAGAACUCAAUCAGCACUAAAAUCUUCCUUCCAAUGUUGCGUCUGGAUGAAUAAUUCCAUCCGAAGAGGCAAUGUAUGUGAGUGUAGCUCAUGGGGACUUCAGUUUUCUCACUGCAAGGAGUGGGCCUCCCCUGCUGAAGAUUUCUCCCCUGAACUCUAGCCCCAGCAUUCAAAGCCCUCAAAGCUAAAGGAAGAAAACAGAUCAGACUUCUCUCCCAGGGAAGGCAUGGCCCCACAGCCUGGCUAGACUGUUUUAUGUCUUGCUACCCGUAUUCCAAUGCAGGUGGAAAGUAGACCUUAAAAUAAAAGAAGCAGACAAAGAACUUGCCAAGCUUCCACAUACAACAUAUGCACAUUUGUAGAAAAUAAAAGAGAAACUUCUGAAGCUCAAAGCAAGAAAAUGUUUCCUCUUCAUCCAUCCUCAGAUUCUCUGCUGAAAUAGACCUUCCACAGAUCCCAGUUUGGAAAAAGACAAAGCAAAAUAAAACAAAAUUAAAAAAAAAAAAAAAAAAACUAGCAUCUUUUGCCAUGAGUCCCUAGAUGGCUGCUAAAUUCAACUGGAUCCCAUGGCACCAUGAAAAUGUAGUUAAACAUGUCUAUUAUGAACAGGGAAAAAUAAAUACUAUUAGAAGAUGUGAAUUUUAGUGCCACUUCUGUCAUAAAUCAUGUUGUAUCCAGCAAGCCACCUAAAACUUUUCUGAUAUGAGAAGAGAAAUAAUAAUAUUUACUCUGCCAGUAUGGAAAGACUAUUGGGAUGAGAUUAUGAAAUACUCUGUAAAAAUCUUGGUAAUGAAGGCAAAAUUAUUUAAUUUUAUUUAAGGCAUCAAGCAUCUACCGAGCACCUAUCAGCCCUUAUCUACAAUGCAUGGAAGAGAUGAAAUGGAUAUGAACAUGAUGAAACUUACCCUUGUGGAAAUGUUGAAGAAUGAAUUGAAUGAAAGUAGAAUAUAGGCUGAAGUUCAAUCUAGAGAUUCAUUUGGUUCAUAGGGAAAAAUAAUGAGAAAAGAAAUGAAGGAAGAAAAUGGCACCGUGUGUUUCUGGAACUUGAAAUGAUCCAGCAUUGCAGUUUGAAGAUAGAGUAGUAAGCAGAAACAAAUAUGACUGAGUUUAUGGUACAUAAAGAAAGAUUGUAAAAGAUUGUCAUUCAUUUAUUGAUUCAACAAAUAUUUAUUGAGUGCCUGUCAUGAGCCUGGACUAUACUAGUCAGUCAGUAAACAAAGGUGAAAUAAAGACGUCUACUCCUUGA